ensembl:lincRNA
CCAUCUGGUACUGUGUUCCUCUCCAUCUUCAGGGUCACUCCUCUGGCAUUGGCCUCCUGAGGCCCAUCCUGCCUGGAACGCUCUUCUCCAAACAUUGGCUUCAAGCCCCGAAGCUGGCUGCUGGUCACUGCACACCCCUCUGGGGAGGCAGAGGAACUCUGACAGAGCUUCUGGAAAGGGUCCCAGGGCACCUGCUUUGGUUCUACGCGACCAAAGGAGGAGCGGGAAGUCCUGCUUCCCUGAGUCAGAGUCCCGUGAGCAGAGUGGAGAUGGCACACAGCCUGAUCUGGAACCCUCGCCUUCCCGGGCUGAUCUACCUCCUCCUGUAGGCAUCCAGGUCUGUGGUCCCUUUGAACCGUGUGGCCGCUCCCUCCUGUCUUGCCUCCUUCCUCACCCCCAGCAGCUGACUUUUAUCUCUGCCAUGUGCCAGACCUCCUUGCUAUCUUUUCCCAUACUGGGCACAAUCCUGCCUCAGGACCUGGGCACUUGCUUUUCCCCUGCCUGGACCUCUCUGCCACCAGAUUUCAUUUCCACACCUGUAGAUCCUUUCACUUUCACACUGAAAUGCUACCUUUCCAGCGAGACAUCCUGGCUCUUCUGUUUAAAACUGCAAUCCACCUGCCUGGCUUCACCUCUCUUCCUACCCUGCCCUGCUUGGGUUUUCUAUAUAGUAUUUACCCUCAUUCAUCACCAGCAUAAAGUCCUGUGUCUUUCUCUUCCUGUUAAAUGCAUGCUCUAUGUGGGAAGGAUCUCAGUUUGUUUUGUUUGCUCCUGUGUCCCUAGUGCCUAGCAUAGCAUAGGAACUCAGUAGGACACUGCAUGCAUAAUUUCAAGGGUUGCCCCCUGCCACUGCUAUGGGCUGGCCCAGGCUGUGGACAGUUGUCCCUUGCAUGUUGUACAGAUCCUACCUGGUGCCCCAUGUCCAAUCUGGCCCCAUCCAAGGAGUUCGUCUAGCAGCCAAAGCAGCCUUGUUAAAAUGAACCGGACUAGGGCUUUCAGGGCUCUGCCCAACCUGGCCUCCAGCUUCCUUUGGACUCAUUGCCUGUUCACUUCCUUGUGGCAGCCACACUGUAUUCUUGGGCUCCCUGGAUAUAUAAAGCUCCCAUACUGGCCUCAGGGCCUUUGCAACCCCGAUCACAGGCUGGAAUGCUUUUCUCUCUAAUCUUCCCUGGCUAUCCCUCUAUCUUGGGCCAAUGUCACCCCCCAUCCCCAGAAGUCUUCCCUGUUUAUCCUAAUCCCCCAUCAAGUCACUCUUACUGUGCUUCAUUGUCUUCCUGGCAAGUCAAACUUCUUUGGUGAGUGUGUUUGUUUGCUUUUCAGCUAAACCAGAUUCCUGAGAACAGGCCCUUGUUAGCUUACUUCUUGAAGCUCCUGUCAUAAAGUAGGUUCUCGAUAAAUUGGCCUGGUGGGUGAGCUAAGGUGUCCACUUCUAUUCCUUCCUGUCCUCACACAUUUGCAUCAUGACAUGCUUGUGACAGAUGAGUUGAACGUCAGAGAGCUCAAGCGGUGUAUGUCUGCAUGUGUCUCUGGGUGUCCAAGUGUCCUUUGUGCGUGGAUGUGUGUGGCUGCUGCUGUGUGCAUGUCUGCAUAUGCCAUUGUGAAACCCUUCCUGUUGGCUGUCUUGUAUCUGUGUCCCUGAGCAUGAGGGUCCAAAGCCCAAUUCUGUCACACCCAGAGCCUCAUUCAAUGUGUCCUCUCAUUUCCCUGUCUGCCCCAGGCCCCUGCAGACUCUAAGGCCCCUUCAUCUCCUGGCUGUGAGGUCCCUGGACACUGAGGCACAUAGGGAGCAAAAGUAGAGGGAAAAGGCAGGGAGGUCUGGUACAUUCCCUGGGGCUCACAGAUCCUAAGCUCAGCCCCCACACCAGGGCCCAGGAUCAGCUCCUGACUUUAAAUCGCCAAUCCCUGAUCAAGCUGUGGAGCUGGAGCUGGGCUGGUUCCCAUGGCAACGUGGAAGCCAUCAGGCCUCUUGCUCAUAAAACAGGUCAUAAAGCAGAGAUGGGAGGAGUAAUGGGGGCUGCUAGGUUGGUGGAGGGACUGGCUGCCUGUGGGUGUUGGGAGACCUGGCCAUCUACCUGGUGGGCACCAGGCCUGGGUUCUGCCUCUGCUUCUCAUCUUGGGCACCCUCAGUUUCCUGCUUUGUGAGUGUGAGCAGUAAGGGCUCUGUAUUUUGACUUUGAAUGUGAUACUGUCUGAACCAGGGACUGUCCUCGGUUGGAGGGCCUGGCAAGACUUGAGUCUGGGAUAAACUCACAGCCACAGUUUUCUCAUCAGUACUAGAGACCUAAGGAGAAGAGGCAUGGUGAGUGCAAAGAUCCAAGCUCAAGAGAACAUUAUUUCAAGUCCAGCUCAGAUCUGCAAGCUGUGCCACUGCUAUGGCCUGGCCCAGGCUGUGGUCAGCUGUCCCUUGCAUGUUGUACAGAUCCUACCUUGUCCCUCAUGUCCAGUCUGGCCCCAUCCAAGGAGUUCGUCUAGCAGCCAAAGCAGCCUUGUUAAAAUGAACCUGACUAGGUUAUCUGUUGGUGGAAAGCCAAGUGGGACAAGUGGUUAAACUCUCAGAGCCAAAUUUAUUCACCUCUAAAAUGGGGAUAAAAUGCCAUUAGGUUUCUAUAGAAAACACAUCCAGUAGAACCAGCAGUAGACCUGGCCUGGCCUGAUGCCAGACUGUGCAAUAAUACUCUGUAUUAGGGAUAAUUGGUUACUCUGUCCCAAGGACUUGUCUCAAUGUUUUAUCCUCACAAAUUAUAUUUACUCCCAUCUUACAGAUGAGGCACCAAGGCUGUUAUGGAUUGAUAACUAGUGGUCAACUUAACGCCAGCUGGAUUGCAUCAGCAAGCAUUGAGAGAAGAUGCUCCACCUGAGAAGGGUUGCCAGGAUAAAUAGGUGGAGAAGAAGAGAGGUGUGGAGAGGGAUUGAGGCGUAUGGAGGCAUUGUUAGUUCUCCUACAAGUUGCUGUCUGAGCUGUUGGUUCUCCUGGAGAAGCUUUGGUCUUCACAUCGAGCAUUGCUUCCUGGCUCCGGAGGGGAAGACAUGUGCUGCCUGGUCUCCAGAGUGAACUCCUCACGCUGCUUCCUGGCAGGUUCCCGACUGUGCUUGUCAUCGGAGGAGCUCGGGGCCUCCGUGUCGAUGAGGACAGCUGUGGUUCCUUUCAGGACAGCCCCGCUUUCUGUUAUGAGUGUGACUUCUCAGCUCCAGUGUAGAACCCUCAUCCCACUAGCACAGCUCCUUCAUCCUGCUGGCAUGGACUUUCUGGCUUCCACCGCUGACCCUUGGGUCUUCCCGGCAUGAAUCCGUAAAAGAGACUGGCGUGAGUCCUUGUGGGCCCUGGACUUCCAGUUGGACUCGUGGAGGCAUUGUCCUGAGCUCUGGGUUUUUAUCUGGACUCAUGUGGGACAUUGCCAUGGGGUUUAGACUCUUGACUAAAUAAUCUAUGUCGUUGGUGUUGCGGAUGGAUUUCCUGCAUUCUCCUGUGUUAACUUCCGGUGACCAUUAUAAAAAUAUUAUAAACUCCAUGUCCUGAUCUGAA